GGGGGUGUAGCUCAGUUUCAAAGCACUUGCUUAACAUGCUGGAGACCUUGGGUUCAAUCCCCAGUCCCCCUC
rnacentral:tRNA from 1 species